AAUAAACGCUGGCGGCGUGCCUAACACAUGCAAGUCGAGCGAGAAAGCUCCUUCGGGAGUGAGUACAGCGGCGAACGGGUGAGCAACGCGCGGGAAUCUACCCUUCAGUGAAGAAUACCCUUGAGAAAUCGAGGUUAAUACUGCAUACGUCCUGUAAAGGAGAAAGAUGGCCUCUUUGCUGUCGUUGAAGGAUGAGCCUGCGUACUAUUAGCUAGUUGGUAGGGUAAAGGCCUACCAAGGCGACGAUCGGUAGCUGGUCUGAGAGGAUGAUCAGCCACACUGGAACUGGGGGACGGUCCAGACUCCUACGGGAGGCAGCAGUGGGGAAUAUUGGACAAUGGGGGGAACCCUGAUCCAGCAAUGCCGCGUGUGUGGAGAAGGCCUGAGGGUUGUAAAGCACUUUCAGUGGGGAGGAGGUUUGGAAGGUUAAGAGCUAUUCAAAUGGACGUUACCCACAGAGGAAGCACCGGCUAACUCCGUGCCAGCCGCCGCCGUAA
rnacentral:rRNA from 1 species